rnacentral:rRNA from 1 species
UACGGAGGGUGCGAGCGUUGUCCGGAAUCAUUGGGCGUAAAGGGCGCGUAGGUGGCCUGAUAAGGGUGUGGUGAAAGUCCGGGGCUCAACCCCGGAUCUGCCGUGCCGACUGUUAGGCUAGAGUACUGUAGGGGCAGGCGGAAUUCCGGGUGUAGCGGUGGAAUGCGUAGAGAUCCGGAGGAAGACCGGUGGCGAAGGCGGCCUGCUGGGCAGUGACUGACGCUGAGACGCGAAAGCGUGGGGAGCAAACAGG